AUCUGCGGCCAUACUACUCUGAACACACCCAGUCUUGUCUGAUCUCAGAAGUUAAGCAGGAUCAGGCUUGGUUCGUACUUGGAUGGGAGACAGCUCAGGAAUACCGGGUGCUAUAGCCU